rnacentral:lncRNA from 1 species
UGGAGACUUGUACUUGUAAUGGUGUACUGGUGCGGGAGAAUGCUUAGGUGGUGGUGGAGACUUGUACUUGUAGACGGGUGUUGGAGGUGGUGGAGAUUUAUACUUGUAGACCGGUGUUGGUGGUGGUGGAGACUUGUACUUAUAGUGAUGUUCUGGUGCGGGAGAAUGCUUAGGUGGUGGUGGAGACUUGUACUUAUAGUGAUGUUCUGGUGCAGGAGAAUGCUUAGGUGGUGGUGGAGAUUUGUACUUAUAAACCGGUGUUGGUGGUGGUGGAGACUUGUACUUAUAAUGAUGCACUGGUGCGGGGGAAUGCUUAG